rnacentral:lncRNA from 1 species
CCAGAGUGGAAGUGGAGGGAGCUGUAAGAAGGGGGCCUGUCAAAAGCCAGUUUACGAAGUCUGGAAAGCACAGAAGCAUUCGGCAGGAGCUGACAGUCCCUAGACAACAGAACUUUAUUACACGAAGAUCCCUAGGAACUAGAAGUGUCAUUUCCUGACCUAAGGAAUUCCAGGCUUGUUCAAAUCAUUUACAACGUGUCUCAUUUUUGCUUAUCUGCCAUCACUGGGAGUGCAGUAACAGAACUCGCUCUGAUGUCACCGAGUGGAUAACCAACUGAUAUACCAAGAUUAAACAUUUUGGUAAGGCAAACAAACCUCAGAAGUACCAUCUGAGGUAUUUCCUGGGCUUAUCUGACGCAUUUAGCCCCUUAUUGCA